rnacentral:rRNA from 1 species
UACAGAGGUCCCAAGCGUUGUUCGGAUUCACUGGGCGUAAAGGGUGCGUAGGUGGCCAGGUAAGUUCGGUGUGAAAGCUCGGAGCUUAACUCCGAAAUGGCAUUGAAUACUAUCUGGCUAGAGGGUCGGAGGGGAGACUGGAAUUCUCGGUAUAGCAGUGAAAUGCGUAGAUAUCGAGAGGAACACCAGUGGCGAAGGCGAGUCUCUGGACGACUCCUGACACUGAGGCACGAAAGCCAGGGGAGCAAACGGG